GACUAAUUAAAGAGUUUUGAUUUGAAAUCAAGUACUAAAGCGGUUAUAGGCGCUUAUUAGUCU
rnacentral:tRNA from 1 species